GAUGGUGUAGCUCAGUGGUAGAGCUUUUGCCUACUGUAAGGUUUUGGGUGCCAUUCCCAGCAUUGCAAAAAAAUAAAAAUAAGGGGCAGUGGAUAUACCUCAGUUGGUAGACUGCUAGCCUCGCAUGCACAAGGCCCUGGGUUGAAUCCCCAGCACCACA
rnacentral:tRNA from 1 species